rnacentral:tRNA from 1 species
GGCUCCUUGGUCUAAAGGUCAGGACGUCGGCCUCUCAAGCCGGAAAUGUCGGGUUCAAGUCCCGCAGGAGCUA